GCCGGGCGAGGUGGCGGGCGCCUGUAGUCCCAGCUCCUUGGGAGGCUGAGGCAGGAGAAUGGCGUGAACCCAGGAGGUGGAGCUUGCAGUGAGCUGAGAUCCGGCCACUGCACUCCACCCUGGGUGACAGAGCGAGACUCUGUCUCAA
ensembl:misc_RNA Metazoa_SRP Metazoan signal recognition particle RNA